CCUUACAGCAGAUUAUUUUUGUAUAAAAUGUGGGGAAGCUAAGGGGGGAAAGGAACAGCAAGGCUUAGGGUCCCAGGGUGGACCAAUUCCGCCACCCUUGCUUUCUCUUCUCUUCAGCUCACACCUGUGAAGCCCGUGCGCCCGUCUCAAAUGAGCUUCAAAGAUUAAAAUCCUCCCGGUCCCUUCCAGAAAUAUCCCUGCUGGAUCGCUGCCAUGUAGGUAGGGAAUAGGGUGGGAUUCUUGGGAGAGCAGUCAGCGGCAGCACAGAGCAGAGGAUCCCCAGCGGGGAUUCAACUGGACCGCGGAGAUACCUUGGGCAGCCCUGAAAUUAUGCGAUUUGAGGACACGCUGUCAACUCUUAUCCCGAGAUCACGCCGUAGAGCCAGACUGCUUCUCCAGUUCUGAACUGGCCCGGACCCGGGCGGUGGUGGCCAGGUGUUGGGAGCUGGGCAAGGCAAGCCAGACCGCCCGAAGGACCUUCGAUCAGGCAUCCCCUCCAGCUCGGCGCAACCCCGCAGGCAACAGACGUGCCAGGUGAAGGAAGAGAAGAGCAGAGGCAACAGUAAUUCAGUUUCACUGCACUGUUUCCCCAGAUCCGACAGGCACAAGUGAUUGGUCUCCCUGCCUCUCUCUUUCGGGGCUGCUAAGCUAGCUGCGUUCUGCCGGAAAAACACAUCGCCCAGACCGAGCGCAGCGUUUGGAGACCUCGGAAUUACCCCCCGACCUGGGCCCGAUAGCACAGGCAGCAGGGCGAGGGACACGGGAGCGCGGCAUCGCCGAGUGGCUCUAUGAAGCGCGGGACCCUGGGCGCUCGCGGUUGAGCCCGGGUCCCAAGGACAGGGCAGAGGUGGGAGGACCCGGGCUUACGGGAGCACAGCCGCUCCUGCAAGCACCCCCCGCAAACCCAGUCCUCGCUGCCGCUUAGCCCCAUCAAGGUGCGCCUCCUCGGUGCGGAGUCCCACCUACCUCCCGCCACCCCGCUGACCUCAUAAACAACUUCGCUAACCGCAGAGGGCGGAGGCGGGGCGGGCGGGCCGCUGCUGAGCCGACCGCGGGGGCAGCGGGGCGGGCCGGGGUCAGGGCACAGGCUGCGGCCGCGCCUCCCGAUUGGCCGGGACGCCGUGGGCUGCCC
ensembl:lncRNA